CCGUAGCGUCUGAAAUCUCCUCGCUAUUGGGUUAAAUGUUUGUCAUUGCAACUACUCGCCCCGCCCAACUCUCGGAGGCAGGCGCUUUGGCAGCCCCAAAGGUCAUUGGUUGGCCAAGAUGUCAGUCAGGCAGAUAACGGCUCAGUGCGGGUGGUGGGGGCGUGGGUGGCCUGGAGGCGAGCGUGCUGUAGCAGCGGGCCUCCAAGUUCUAGGCCAAGUCUCUGAGAGUGAAACCGUCUGUGACCUGCGCUGACUUCCCCUCCGCUGCUGCUGUUCUGAGCGGCCUCUCCACGCUGUCGAGUAAAAGUACAAUUCUGCCUUAGUGGAAGACCUACUGACUUUCGCGGGACAGAGCCCUGCGGCCUGGCAGCCUGGCCUGCGCCCAACGGGUACCACCUUCCCGCCCCAUCUCUUCCCAGGGCCCUUUUAACCCGAAAGCUGCUCUCUCCGUGCCUCAGGGACAGGCUUCGGGCGCGCAGAUGCGCUCAGGGCCAGGCCAGCUUGAGUCAGGCCCUCCCGCGCUUUCCUGCAGGAUCUAGAAAUGUCCCCGAAUUCUGGGGUAGGCACCGACCCGACCAGCUUGGCUCUGUUUUUGUCAGUUCCCAUCCUGUACCCUUCCCGCCGUGGAUCCCAACGCAAAUGCUAAUCCAGCCCCAAAGGUAUCUGUGCCUGUGAGUUGGAAAAGGGGAAGGGCCAGAGACCAAAUGACACCUUUAGGGUUCAAGUGAUUCUCUUGCUUCAGCCUCCUGAGUAGCUGGGAUUACAGGCGCCCGCCACCAUGCCCAGCUAAAGGAAAUCCCCUGUAAGGAGGAAAGUUUAAAAACAAAUUUAAAAAGGAAAGAAAAAGACGUACAAAAUUCGCGGUACCUUGUCUUAUUCUAAUAAAAAAUAAUGAUAUUUAUCCACAGAUAUAGGAACUAACGGGGGGAGGAAAUUUUCUCUUUUAUGACGUAUAUUUCCAAUAAAAUUUUAGUUUUUAUUAGA
rnacentral:lncRNA from 1 species